AACACUGGUCACCGUACGAUCACCGAAGUUAAGCAACGUUGGGCCUGGUCAGUACAUAGAUAGGUGACCGCUUGAGACUAGCAGGUGAUGUAAG